rnacentral:rRNA from 1 species
UGCGUAGGCGGCCCGUUAAGUCAGUGGUGAAAUCCUGCGGCUCAACCGUAGAACUGCCAUUGAUACUGUUAUUCUUGAAUUUAGUUGAGGUAGGCGGAAUGUGUAAUGUAGCGGUGAAAUGCUUAGAUAUUACACAGAACACCGAUUGCGAAGGCAGCUUGCUAAACUAAUAUUGACGCUGAUGCACGAAAGCGUGGGGAGCGAACAGGAUUAGAUACCCUGGUAGUCC